GAUGAACGCUGGCGGCGUGCCUAAUACAUGCAAGUCGAGCGAACAGACGAGGAGCUUGCUCCUCUGACGUUAGCGGCGGACGGGUGAGUAACACGUGGAUAACCUACCUAUAAGACUGGGAUAACUUCGGGAAACCGGAGCUAAUACCGGAUAAUAUAUUGAACCGCAUGGUUCAAUAGUGAAAGACGGUUUUGCUGUCACUUAUAGAUGGAUCCGCGCCGCAUUAGCUAGUUGGUAAGGUAACGGCUUACCAAGGCAACGAUGCGUAGCCGACCUGAGAGGGUGAGCGGCAACAGUGGGACUGAGAGACGAGCGAGAGUCAAACCGGAGGCAGCAGUAGGGAAUCGUUCGCAAAGGGCGACAGACUGACAGAGCAAAGCAGAGGGAGUGAAGAAAGUCUUAGGAUCGUAAAAAUCUGUUAUUAGUGAAUAACAAAAGUGUAAGUAACUAUGCACUUCCAGACGCUACCUAAUCAGAAGACAACGGCUAACAACAAU
rnacentral:rRNA from 1 species